rnacentral:rRNA from 1 species
GACAGCGUACCUUUUGUAUAAUGGGUCAGCGACUUAAUUUAACGAGCAAGCUUAAGCCGAUAGGUGUAGGCGCAGCGAAAGCGAGUCUGAAUAGGGCGAUGAGUUCGAGGGAUAAGACCCGAAACCGAGUGAUCUAGCCAUGUGCAGGUUGAAGGUGCGGUAACACGCACUGGAGGACCGAACCCACGUCUGUUGAAAAAGACGGGGAUGACGUGUGGCUAGGGGUGAAAGGCCAAUCAAACUCGGAGAUAGCUGGUUCUCCGCGAAAUCUAUUUAGGUAGAGCGUCUCGUAUUACCUUCGGGGGUAGAGCACUGGAUGGGCUAGGGGGUCCCAACGACUUACCAAACCUAACCAAACUCCGAAUACCGAAGAGUAGAGCGAGGCAGACACACUGCGGGUGCUAAGGUCCGUAGUGGAGAGGGAAACAGCCCUGACCGCCAGCUAAGGUCCCUAAGUUAUCACUAAGUGGGAAACGAUGUGGGAAUGCUUAGACAACCAGGAGGUUGGCUUAGAAGCAGCCAUCCUUUAAAGAUAGCGUAACAGCUCACUGGUCUAAACAAGUUGUCCUGCGGCGAAGAUGUAACGGGGCUCAAGCCAUGAGCCGAAGCUGAGGAUGCACAUAGUGCAUGGUAGCGGAGCGUAGUGUG